AUUGAACGCUGGCGGCAUGCUUUACACAUGCAAGUCGAACGGUAACAGGGAGCUUGCUCCGCUGACGAGUGGCGAACGGGUGAGUAAUGCGUCGGAACGUGCCGAGUAGUGGGGGAUAACGCAUCGAAAGGUGUGCUAAUACCGCAUACGAACUGAGGUUGAAAGUGGGGGACCUUCGGGCCUCACGCUAUUCGAGCGGCCGACGUCUGAUUAGCUAGUUGGUGAGGUAAAGGCUCACCAAGGCGACGAUCAGUAGCGGGUCUGAGAGGAUGAUCCGCCACACUGGGGCUGAGACACGGCGCAGACUCCUACGGGAGGCAGCAGUGGGGAAUUUUGGACAAUGGGCGCAAGCAUGAUCCAGCCAUGCCGCGUGUCUGAAGAAGGCCUUCGGGUUGUAAAGGACUUUUGUCCGGGAGCAAAUGCUGGUGGCUAACAUCCACCGGAGCUGAGAGUACCGGAAGAAUAAGCACCGGCUAACUACGUGCCAGCCGCCGCCGUAAUAC
rnacentral:rRNA from 1 species